UACGUAGGGUGCAAGCGUUAAUCGGAAUUACUGGGCGUAAAGCGUGCGCAGGCGGUGAUGUAAGACAGAUGUGAAAUCCCCGGGCUCAACCUGGGAACUGCAUUUGUGACUGCAUCGCUGGAGUACGGCAGAGGGGGAUGGAAUUCCGCGUGUAGCAGUGAAAUGCGUAGAUAUGUGGAGGAACACCGAUGGCGAAGGCAGCCCCCUGGGCUAACACUGACGCUCAUGCACGAAAGCGUGGGGAGCAAACAGG
rnacentral:rRNA from 1 species